CAGUCGCCGCGGUAAUACGGGGGAUGCAAGUGUUAUCCGGAAUAAUUGGGCGUAAAGCGUCUGUAGGUGGUUUACCAAGUCUGUUGUUAAAAAUCAGGGCUCAACCCUGAUCCGGCAACAGAAACUAGUAGACUUGAGUACGGUAGGGGCAGAGGGAAUUCUCGGUGUAGCGGUGAAAUACGUAGAUAUCGAGAAGAACACCAAUGGCGAAAGCACUCUGCUGGGCCGAAACUGACAUUGAGGGACGAAAGCUAGGGGAGCGAAAGGGAUUAGAUACCCGCGUAGUCCCUGUCUCUUAUAC
rnacentral:rRNA from 1 species